AUUGAACGCUGGCGGCAUGCCUUACACAUGCAAGUCGAACGGCAGCACGGGUGCUUGCACCUGGUGGCGAGUGGCGAACGGGUGAGUAAUACAUCGGAACGUACCUUAUCGUGGGGGAUAACGCAGCGAAAGCUGUGCUAAUACCGCAUAAGCCCUGAGGGGGAAAGCGGGGGAUCGAAAGACCUCGCGCGAUUAGAGCGGCCGAUGCCUGAUUAGCUUGUUGGUGGGGUAAAAGCCCACCAAGGCGACGAUCAGUAGCUGGUCUGAGAGGACGAUCAGCUGCACUGGGACUGAGACACGGCCCAGACUCCUACGGGAGGCAGCAGUGGGUAAUUUUGGACAAUGGGGGCAACACUGAGCCAGCAAUGCCGCGUGAGUGAAGAAGGCCUUCGGGUUGUAAAGCUCUUUUGUCAGGGAAGAAACACCGGCUCUAACUCAGUCCGGGAAUGACGGUACCUGAAGAAUAAGCACCGGCUAACUACGUGCCAGCAGCCGCGGUAA
rnacentral:rRNA from 1 species